GAGGGAACCAGGUUUCAUUAGAUUCAAUGGUUUUAUUCAACCAGUAACAUGAGGAUCAUUCAGCUUCAGCUCUAUGUGUUAAUCUGUUGUCGAGCUGCAGUCUCAGAUCAACUCACUGAUGUGGGAUCAAAUGUGACCAUAAACUGUGAUCUUGAUGAAAAGGAGGUUUACUGGAUUUUACUGAAAACACCAGAUCCUCCAACAGUGAUUCUACGAUCAACCUCAAAUCCAACAUCACCUUUAUACUUAAAUAAAACAUUCAGACAGAAAUAUUCACUGCAAUUUAAACACUGUCUGGUUAUUAAUAAUGUAACCGCUGAUGAAUUAGGAGUUUAUUACUGUAUGAACACAGACACACCUCCAAAACUCAGCAACAGCACCAGACUGCACUUCACCGAAUCAACUCAAAUAACUGAGUGUCACAAUCAUACAGCGGUGGA